GUGGUGUAGUCUACGUGAUACGCAGGUAUACGCAGUAUACCCACUAAGAAAGCUCCAGGAUUUCCAUAUACCCACUUAAAAAUGUGCAAUGAUAUGCAACAACAUAGUUUUGUGAAAGAACUUUCACUUCAGAUAUUUGUAUUCCCAAAUACGGGGUCGAGUAAUCUCUCAUGUCAAGA